UCCACGCCGUAAACGAUGUCGACUUGGAGGUUGUUCCCUUGAGGAGUGGCUUCCGGAGCUAACGCGUUAAGUCGACCGCCUGGGGAGUACGGCCGCAAGGUUAAAACUCAAAUGAAUUGACGGGGGCCCGCACAAGCGGUGGAGCAUGUGGUUUAAUUCGAUGCAACGCGAAGAACCUUACCUACUCUUGACAUCCACGGAAUUUGGCAGAGAUGCCUUAGUGCCUUCGGGAACCGUGAGACAGGUGCUGCAUGGCUGUCGUCAGCUCGUGUUGUGAAAUGUUGGGUUAAGUCCCGCAACGAGCGCAACCCUUAUCCUUUGUUGCCAGCGAUUCGGUCGGGAACUCAAAGGAGACUGCCGGUGAUAAACCGG
rnacentral:rRNA from 1 species